AUUUUCAAAUAGGUAUACGAAUUCGAUAGUAGCCCCGCGAUAUCAUAUUAUUUUUUACCUACCUAUUGGCAGUCAAUGCAUUGUCCAGCACACAGAACGCCCGCGGAGCGUAUUACUAUCAUGACGGAUGACGAUCGUCAGUCGGUGGGAACUUCCGACGGUGGCGAAAAAAAAGCGACCAUCGGUACAUCGGACUCCGCCGUCGGCACACGCUGAGUACCUAUCUAUAUACUGUGCCUCCCAUAUACGUCGACCGGCUCUGAGGACUUCGAAGGUCGAUGAUCUAUCGUGACGGGACAUUCGCAUACAUAUAUUAUUAUUAUAUUAUGAUAUUGUGCACACACAUCAGAGAAACGCUGCCGACGAGACGGGAAUAUCAAACAAAAGAACAUUAUAACACGUCCGAACGACGACACGAUGACGACGAAAACGACUACGAACUAUACGACGAGCCAGCGAGCAUUGCGUGUGGUUCCCGAACAACAGUGUGAUAAUAUCGUAUAUCAGUUUUAAAUGUUCUAAAUAUUUAAUAUAUUAUUAUUUAUUUGUUCACAUAAUAUGUGACGGGUAUUAUAUAUAAUGCACGCGGAUAAAGAAAA